rnacentral:lncRNA from 1 species
CUGUUUUAUUCACCCUGUAUGCUUGUUUAUUGCUUGGCAAAAUAAAUUGAAUUGAAUUGAAUUGAACACUAUAUUUAAUUGCGGUGAUUUGUCGGUUACGAACAGAUAGUCAUGGCAGGCUUCGAUAUUCUAUAAAACUAGAAGCUAUCUUGACAGUACUUCAACAGGAAGCUGGAUAGAGACACUUCGUCACAUCAAGCUACGAGAAAGUAUAUCAUCAUUUCACCGAAAUCUACUCGAACACCGCAUCCAAAUCAGACUUUAAAAAUGGCGUCCAAAACCAUGAUUGCUCUCUACUUUCUGAUUGCCUUGGCCGUGGCAGCAAGUGUUUUAGUCGAGGAAGAUGAGAUCGACAAUUCUAAUGCGUUGAAUGUCGAGAAAAACGUCAAAGGCGUCAAGGAAGAUGAGAUCGACAAUGAUAAUGAGUUGGAUGUCGAGGAAGACAUGCCUUAUACUCCCCGCAGGAGUAGAAUAGGGGAAGAGUAGCUUCGAGAAGAUCGGAAAGUAUACUAGCUGGAUCUUUUCCAUGUGGUCAGACGUCUGCUCUGUUUGUUAAUUGAGACUUUUGUCAAAUUGAUGCGAGAAAAACAAUCAUCGGUGAUCAGUCAUCACUGACCUUAACCCUAACCCCAACGAAUUCAUAACCUUGCCCCUAAAAUAUAAACAUUCAAUAAAUGUAUAUAGUACAAUUUGAAUCUCGAUUCAAAAGGAAAGUAUCAAUAUGCCUACAUGUAGCCCAAUAUAGUUUUGUGUUGACAACAGGUUAGUCAAUUCACUGGAAAUUUGAUUGUUUUGAUAUAAUGCAUUGAAGAGUACAAUAUUGUACAUGUGCUUCAUGUGUAGAUAAAACGUGAAAAUGAAACCAUUGAGGGGUAUACAUUGAUAAGUUGUAAAUUGUCAAAUUUUUAAUCAGCUGCUUUAUUCUCUGACAAACUGUGCACAAAACGGUCUCAUUAAAUGGAAUGACGUAA